AGAGUUUGAUCAUGGCUCAGGAUGAACGCUAGCUACAGGCUUAACACAUGCAAGUCGAGGGGCAGCAUGUUGGUUGCUUGCAACCAAUGAUGGUGACCGGCGCACGGGUGAGUAACGCGUAUCCAACCUACCCUUGUCCAUCGGAUAACCCGUCGAAAGGCGGCCUAACACGAUAUGCGGUUCUCAGCAGGCAUCUAACGAGAACGAAAUGUGAAGGAGAAGGAUGGGGAUGCGUCUGAUUAGCUUGUUGGCGGGGUAACGGCCACCAAGGCGACGAUCAGUAGGGGUUCUGGAGAGGAAGGUCCCCCANAUUGGAACUGAGACACGGUCCAAACUCCUACGGGAGGCA
rnacentral:rRNA from 1 species